GAUGAACGCUGGCGGCGUGCCUAAUACAUGCCAGUCGAGCGAACAGAUGAGGAGCUUGCUCCUCUGACGUUAGCGGCGGACGGGUGAGUAACACGUAGAUAACCUACCUAUAAGACUGGGAUAACUUCGGGAAACCGGAGCUAAUACCGGAUAAUAUAUUGAACCGCAUGGUUCAAUAGUGAAAGACGGUUUUGCUGUCACUUAUAGAUGGAUCCGCGCCGCAUUAGCUAGUUGGUAAGGUAACGGCUUACCAAGGCGACGAUGCGUAGCCGACCUGAGAGGGUGAUCGGCCACACUGGAACUGAGACACGGUCCAGACUCCUACGGGAGGCAGCAGUAGGGAAUCUUCCGCAAUGGGCGAAAGCUUGACGGAGCAACGCCGCGUGAGUGAUGAAGGUCUUCGGAUCGUAAAACUCUGUUAUUAGGGAAGAACAAAUGUGUAAGUAACUAUGCACGUCUUGACGGUACCUAAUCAGAAAGCCACGGCUAACUACGUG
rnacentral:rRNA from 1 species